rnacentral:rRNA from 1 species
GAUCGGCCCGCGUCUGAUUAGCUAGUUGGUGAGGCAAUGGCUCACCAAGGCGACGAUCAGUAGCUGGUCUGAGAGGAUGAUCAGCCACAUUGGGAUUGAGACACGGCCCGAACUCCUACGGGAGGCAGCAGUGGGGAAUAUUGGACAAUGGGCGCAAGCCUGAUCCAGCCAUGCCGCGUGAGUGAUGAAGGCCCUAGGGUUGUAAAGCUCUUUUGUGCGGGAAGAUAAUGACGGUACCGCAAGAAUAAGCCCCGGCUAACUUCGUGCCAGCAGCCGCGGUAAUACGAAGGGGGCUAGCGUUGCUCGGAAUCACUGGGCGUAAAGGGUGCGUAGGCGGGUCUUUAAGUCAGGGGUGAAAUCCUGGAGCUCAACUCCAGAACUGCCUUUGAUACUGAGGAUCUUGAGUUCGGGAGAGGUGAGUGGAACUGCCAGUGUAGAGGUGAAAUUCGUAGAUAUUCGCAGGAACACCAGUGGCAAAGGCGACUUGCUGGAUCUUUGCUGACCCUGAAACGCGAAAGCGUGGGGAGCAAACAGGAUUAGAUGCCCUGGUAGUCCACGCUUGUAACGAUGAAAGCUUGUUGUCGGCCCCCAUGCGUGUCGGUGACCCACCUAACGCAUUUAGCUCUCCCCCCUGGGGAGU